GGUUAAGCUAGAAAGGGCGCACGGUGGAUGCCUUGGCACUAGGAGCCGAAGAAGGACGGGACGAACACCGAUAUGCCUCGGCGAGCUGUAAGUAAGCUUUGACCCGGGGAUUUCCGAAUGGGGAAACCCACUGCCUGUAAUGAGGUAGUAUUUAUCUCUGAAUCCAUAGGAGAUAAAAGGCAAACCUGGGGAACUGAAACAUCUCAGUACCCAGAGGAAGAGAAAGCAAAUGCGAUUUCCUGAGUAGCGGCGAGCGAAACGGAAACAGCCCAAACCGAAAGGCUUGCCUUUCGGGGUUGUAGGACACUCCUACGGAGUUAGAAAGAAACGGCGUAGACGAAGCGACUUGGAAAGGUCCGCGAGACAAGGUAAUAGCCCUGUAGUCGAAAUGCCGUUUCCUCCGGAGUGGAUCCUGAGUACGGCGGGACACGAGAAACCCCGUCGGAAUCUGGGAGGACCAUCUCCCAAGGCUAAAUACUCCCUAGUGACCGAUAGUGAACCAGUACCGUGAGGGAAAGGUGAAAAGCACCCCGGGAGGGGAGUGAAAUAGAACCUGAAACCGUGUGCCUACAAGUAGUUGGAGCCCGUUAAUGGGUGACAGCGUGCCUUUUGUAGAAUGAACCGGCGAGUGACGAUGUCGUGCAAGGUUAAGCUGAAGAGGCGGAGCCGCAGCGAAAGCGAGUCUGAAUAGGGCGAAUAAGUACGCCGUCGUCGACCCGAAACCGGGUGACCUACCCAUGUCCAGGGUGAAGUCCAGGUAACACUGGAUGGAGGCCCGAACCCACGCAAGUUGAAAAUUGCGGGGAUGAGGUGUGGGUAGAGGUGAAAUGCCAAUCGAACUCGGAGAUAGCUGGUUCUCCCCGAAAUAGCUUUAGGGCUAGCCUCGAUGUAAGAGUCUUGGAGGUAGAGCACUGAUUGGACGAGGGGUCCCCAUCGGAUUACCGAAUUCAGUCAAACUCCGAAUGCCAACGACUUGUUCAUCGGGAGUCAGACUGCGAGUGCUAAGAUCCGUAGUCGAGAGGGAAACAGCCCAGACCAUCAGCUAAGGUCCCAAAGUAUACGUUAAGUGGAGAAGGAUGUGGAGUUGCUUAGACAACCAGGAUGUUGGCUUAGAAGCAGCCAUCAUUGAAAGAGUGCGUAAUAGCUCACUGGUCGAGUGACUCUGCGCCGAAAAUGUACCGGGGCUAAACGUAUCACCGAAGCUAUGGGCGGUCCAACGGACCGUGGUAGGGGAGCGUUCCAAGGGCGUUGAAGUUCGACCGAGAGGACGGAUGGAGCGCUUGGAAGUGAGAAUGCCGGUAUGAGUAGCGAAAAGAGGGGUGAGAAUCCCCUCCGUCGAAAGCCUAAGGUUUCCUGAGGAAGGCUCGUCCGCUCAGGGUUAGUCGGGACCUAAGCCGAGGCCGAAAGGCGUAGGCGAUGGACAACAGGUUGAAAUUCCUGUACCACCUCCUUUCCAUUUGAGUGAAGGGGUGACGCAGUAAGGUAGGGUGAGCGCGCUAUUGGACAUGCGCGUCUAAACUGUUAGGCUGAUAACGANNNNNNNNNNNNNNNNNNNNNNNNNNNNNNNNNNNNNNNNNNNNNNNNNNNNNNNNNNNNNNNNNNNNNNNNNNNNNNNNNNNNNNNNNNNNNNUAAAGGCUGAGCAGUGACAGCGAGGGAACAUGAGUACCGAAGUCCCUGAUCCUCCACUGCCAAGAAAAACCUCUAGCGAGGAAAGAGGUGCCCGUACCGUAAACCGACACAGGUAGGCGAGAUGAGAAUUCUAAGACGCGCGGGAGAACUCUCGUUAAGGAACUCGGCAAAAUGACCCCGUAACUUCGGGAGAAGGGGUGCUUUCUGGGGUGAAUAGCCCUGGAGAGCCGCAGUGAAUAGGCCCAAACGACUGUUUAUCAAAAACACAGGUCUCUGCGAAGCCGCAAGGCGAAGUAUAGGGGCUGACACCUGCCCGGUGCUGGAAGGUUAAGAGGAGGCGUUAUCCCUUCGGGGAGAAGCGCUGAAUUGAAGCCCCAGUAAACGGCGGCCGUAACUAUAACGGUCCUAAGGUAGCGAAAUUCCUUGUCGGGUAAGUUCCGACCCGCACGAAAGGUGCAACGAUUUGGGCACUGUCUCAACGAGAGACCCGGUGAAAUUAUACUACCAGUGAAGAUGCUGGUUACCCGCGACAGGACGGAAAGACCCCAUGGAGCUUUACUGUAGCUUGAUAUUGGAUUUUGGUACAGCUUGUACAGGAUAGGUAGGAGCCUGAGAAACCGGAGCGCCAGCUUCGGUGGAGGCGUCGGUGGGAUACUACCCUGGCUGUACUGAAGUUCUAACCCAGGACCGUGAUCCGGUUCGGGGACAGUGUCAGGUAGGCAGUUUGACUGGGGCGGUCGCCUCCUAAAGAGUAACGGAGGCGCCCAAAGGUUCCCUCAGAAUGGUUGGAAAUCAUUCGCAGAGUGCAAAGGCAUAAGGGAGCUUGACUGCGAGACCUACAAGUCGAGCAGGGACGAAAGUCGGGCUUAGUGAUCCGGCGGUUCCGCAUGGAAGGGCCGUCGCUCAACGGAUAAAAGCUACCCUGGGGAUAACAGGCUUAUCUCCCCCAAGAGUCCACAUCGACGGGGAGGUUUGGCACCUCGAUGUCGGCUCAUCGCAUCCUGGGGCUGAAGUAGGUCCCAAGGGUUGGGCUGUUCGCCCAUUAAAGCGGUACGCGAGCUGGGUUCAGAACGUCGUGAGACAGUUCGGUCCCUAUCCGUCGCGGGCGCAGGAAAUUUGAGAGGAGCUGUCCUUAGUACGAGAGGACCGGGAUGGACACACCGCUGGUGUACCAGUUGUUCCGCCAGGAGCAUAGCUGGGUAGCUACGUGUGGAAGGGAUAAGUGCUGAAAGCAUCUAAGCAUGAAGCCCACCUCAAGAUGAGAUUUCCCAUCACGUCAAGUGAGUAAGACCCCUUUGAGAUGAAGAGGUUGAUAGGUCUCGUGUGGAAGCGUGGCAACACGUGAAGCUGAGAGAUACUAAUCGGUCGAGGGCUUAACCAA
rnacentral:rRNA from 1 species